rnacentral:sRNA from 1 species
AGCAGCCGCGGUAAUUCCAGCUCCAAUAGCGUAUAUUAAAGUUGUUGCAGUUAAAAAGCUACGUAGUUGAAUUUCGGGACCAAUAUGUUGGUCGUGCCUUGGUACGUACUGGCAUUAUUGGUUUCUCCCUUCUGAAGAACCACGAUGCCAUUAAUUUGGUGUCGUGGGGAAUCAGGACUGUUACUUUGAAAAAUUAGAGUGUUUAAAGCAGGCUCGCGCUUGAAUACAUUAGCAUGGAAUAAUGAAAUAGGACGUUUGAUUCUAUUUUGUUGGUUUCUAGGAUCGACGUAAUGAUUAAUAGGGAUAGUUGGGGGCAUUAGUAUUCAAUUGUCAGAGGUGAAAUUCUUGGAUUUAUUGAAGACUAACUACUGCGAAAGCAUUUGCCAAGGAUGUUUUCAUUAAUCAAGAAC